rnacentral:rRNA from 1 species
CUGAACUCAAACAGGCAAGAUUACCCGCUGAAUUUAAGCAUAUUAAUAAGCGGAGGAAAAGAAACUAACAAGGAUUCCCCUAGUAACGGCGAGUGAAGCGGGAACAGCUCAAGCUUGAAAUCUGCACCUUGUAAAAAGGGUGCCGAGUUGUAGCUUUUGGAGGCACUAUUGAGCGGCUAAUCUUGGUAAAAGUCCUUUUGAAUAAGGCAUCAGAGAGGGUGAAAAUCCCGUAUUUGACCAGGAGAAUAAAUUAGCAGCGAUAUCAAGUGUUUUCUUUGAGUCGGGUUGUUUGGGAAUGCAGCCCUAAUUAGGAGGUAAAUUUCUUCUAAAGCUAAAUAUCAGCAAGAGACCGAUAGCAUACAAGUACCGUGAGGGAAAGAUGAAAAGCACUUUGAAAAGAGAGUGAAAAGUACGUGAAAUUGUUGGAAGGGAACCGGUUGAUGACCAAGCUUUUUUGGCUUCCUUUCGGGGGAGUUGGAGGGUCAACAUCGGUUGUUUUAUGGCUAGAAGGGAUUUUGCGGGCUGACGGGGGAAAGGUAGUAAGCGUUCUGGGUAUUUUAUACCUAGGGCGUUUAUGUUAUAGACUCCCACAGGCUCGCUUCAAAAGCUCUAUAGUUGUAGCGACCGAGGAAUGCAGUGUGUUUUUAUCCUUCGGGAUUUAGGGCAGCUUGUAGGGAUGCAUUUUGUGGUGUUUAUCUUGGGGCUAGACAGCUUUGCUGACUAGUUCUGGUGCGCCAUAUGUACGCCUUGCAAGGUGACCAAGAAGCACUUUGGAUGUUGGCGAAAAGGCAUCAAUCGACCCGUCUUGAAACACGGACCAAGGAGUCCAACAUGCAUGCGAGUAUUUGGGAAAAGAUAAACCCAUGUGCGUAAUGAAAGUGAAUUUUAUUUAGAAUGUGACCUGCUUUAUUGUGGGGCAACAUCAACCGACUUUAGAUAGCGCUGCUUGAAAAGGUUGAGUAAGAGCAUGUAUGCUGGGACCCGAAAGAUGGUGAACUAUGCCUGAAUAGGGUGAAGUCAGAGGAAACUCUGAUGGAAGCUCGUAGAGAUUCUGACGUGCAAAUCGAUCUCAAAAUUUGGGUAUAGGGG